rnacentral:ribozyme from 1 species
AAAAAAAAAAAAAAAACCGAAAAAACACAACAAAAAAAAGACCCCAUACAACAUCAAGUUGAUUGUACUGCGACGUUCUUUAUUUU